rnacentral:rRNA from 1 species
UGGGGAAUAUUGGACAAUGGGCGAAAGCCUGAUCCAGCCAUGCCUCGUGUGUGAAGAAGGUCUUCGGAUUGUAAAGCACUUUAAGAUGGGAGGAAGGGCAUUAACCUAAUACGUUAGUGUUUUGACGUUACCGACAGAAUAAGCACCGGCUAACUCUGUGCCAGCAGCCGAGGUAAUACAGAGGGUGCAAGCGUUAAUCGGAAUUACUGGGCGUAAAGCGCGCGUAGGUGGUUUGUUAAGUUGGAUGUGAAAUCCCCGGGCUCAACCUGGGAACUGCAUUCAAAACUGACUGACUAGAGUAUGGUAGAGGGUGGUGGAAUUUCCUGUGUAGCGGUGAAAUGCGUAGAUAUAGGAAGGAACACCAGUGGCGAAGGCGACCACCUGGACUAAUACUGACACUGAGGUGCGAAAGCGUGGGGAGCAAACA